rnacentral:rRNA from 1 species
CCUACGGGGGCAGCAGUGGGGAAUAUUGGACAAUGGGCGAAAGCCUGAUCCAGCCAUGCCGCGUGUGUGAAGAAGGCCUUCGGGCUGUAAAGCACUUUCAGUGGGGAAGAAAGCCUUGGGGCUAAUACCCUCGAGGAAGGACAUCACCCACAGAAGAAGCACCGGCUAACUCCGUGCCAGCAGCCGCGGUAAUACGGAGGGUGCGAGCGUUAAUCGGAAUUACUGGGCGUAAAGCGCGCGUAGGCGGUCUGAUAAGCCGGUUGUGAAAGCCCCGGGCUCAACCUGGGAACGGCAUCCGGAACUGUCAGGCUAGAGUGCAGGAGAGGAAGGUAGAAUUCCCGGUGUAGCGGUGAAAUGCGUAGAGAUCGGGAGGAAUACCAGUGGCGAAGGCGGCCUUCUGGACUGACACUGACGCUGAGGUGCGAAAGCGUGGGUAGCAAACAGGAUUAGAUACCCCAGUAGUC